UGGGGAAUAUUGCACAAUGGGCGAAAGCCUGAUGCAGCAACGCCGCGUGAGUGAUGAAGGUCUUCGGAUUGUAAAGCUCUGUCUUUUGGGACGAUAAUGACGGUACCAAAGGAGGAAGCCACGGCUAACUACGUGCCAGCAGCCGCGGUAAUACGUAGGUGGCGAGCGUUGUCCGGAUUUACUGGGCGUAAAGGGUGCGUAGGCGGAUGUUUAAGUGAGAUGUGAAAUACCCGGGCUUAACUUGGGUGCUGCAUUUCAAACUGGAUAUCUAGAGUGCAGGAGAGGAGAAUGGAAUUCCUAGUGUAGCGGUGAAAUGCGUAGAGAUUAGGAAGAACACCAGUGGCGAAGGCGAUUCUCUGGACUGUAACUGACGCUGAGGCACGAAAGCGUGGGUAGCAACAGGAUUAGAUACCCUGGUAGUCCACGCCGUAAACGAUGAGUACUAGGUGUAGGAGGUAUCGACCCCUUCUGUGCCGCAGUAAACACAUUAAGUACUCCGC
rnacentral:rRNA from 1 species